UUCAGACAUCUUCAGUUGGAGGUGGAUAGUCUUUUUCAUGUGAUCAUGGCCAGAUAUGAAGAGGAAAUGGAUCUCAUUUUUGGACAGGAAUUUAACUGGAUAAUGUAUAGAGAAGAAUGGACACGGCAUAGAGGAAAUUUGAAAUCACAUUAUAUUAAGAUCAUCUGAAGGUCUUGAUGAUGGAGGAGAACCUGGGUUGGCACCUGAGGGUGACAACAGGACAUGCUCACCAUCUCCAGGUAUGUCAAGAUCAGGCAACACGAUGUAUAGAAUAGGGCACUAGUUUUGGAGUCAGAGGACCCAGUUUUGAAACCUAUUUGAGAUAGAAAUGGGUAGCUACUGUAUGAUCUCUUUCAGCCUCCAUUUCCUCAUUUGUUAAGUGAGGAAGUUGGACCAGAUGACAACGAGGGUCCCAUCCAAUUCUAAAUCCACAAUCCUACCUGAAAUAUAUA
rnacentral:lncRNA from 1 species